rnacentral:rRNA from 1 species
AUUGAACGCUGGCGGCAUGCCUUACACAUGCAAGUCGAACGGUAACAGGUCUUCGGAUGCUGACGAGUGGCGAACGGGUGAGUAAUACAUCGGAACGUGCCCGAUCGUGGGGGAUAACGCAGCGAAAGCUGUGCUAAUACCGCAUACGAUCUACGGAUGAAAGCGGGGGAUCGCAAGACCUCGCGCGGACGGAGCGGCCGAUGGCAGAUUAGGUAGUUGGUGGGUAAAAGCUUACCAAGCCGACGAUCUGUAGCUGGUCUGAGAGGACGACCAGCCACACUGGGACUGAGACACGGCCCAGACUCCUACGGGAGGCAGCAGUGGGGAAUUUUGGACAAUGGGGGAAACCCUGAUCCAGCCAUGCCGCGUGCAGGAUGAAGGCCUUCGGGUUGUAAACUGCUUUUGUACGGAACGAAAAGGUCCUUUCUAAUAAAGAGGGCUCAUGACGGUACCGUAAGAAUAAGCACCGGCUAACUACGUGCCAGCAGCCGCGGUAAC